ensembl:lncRNA MIR4435-2HG MIR4435-2 host gene
UUAGUCGUGUGUACAUCAUUGGGAAUGGAGGGAAAUAAAUGACUGGAUGGUCGCUGCUUUUUAAGUUUCAAAUUGACAUUCCAGACAAGCGGUGCCUGAGCCCGUGCCUGUCUUCAGAUCUUCACAGCACAGUUCCUGGGAAGGUGGAGCCACCAGCCUCUCCCUGACAAGCAAAGUGGAUCAGCAAAGGCUGCAGUCACCAGCAUCUUUUCCAACCUUAAUGAACUGUAUCCUCAAAAGAACACUAUCAGACUGGCUCUGCCGACUUCCAGUUCUGGAACAAGAUGGUUAAACUCAUUUUUCCCUGCUCUGCUCCUCUAAAUACAACUAAGUACCUUGGAAACUAUUCAGCAGACAAUGAUAAAGGGCUCUGAAAGCUAGAAGAAAAGGUGUACUUGCAAGAAACCUCAGGACUUGAGUAACAGCAACAUGGCAGGCCAGAAAGCAGACCCAGGGAGGAUAGCACAUGUCUUCGGCUACACUGGUGAAGGCAUCGUGCCUGCUCCACAGCACAUUUUUAUUCAAGAUCUUGUUCUCACUAGAGAAUAAUUUCUACAUUAUGCCCAGGUUCUUCUGAGCUAUGAAGGGGCCCAGAUUUAAGGGCUAUUUUUGACACCCUAAAUGUGCUGAGACAAGUCAUUAAGGUGGUCCUGCCAGGACACAGCCAUCUAAAGCAGCAAUCUGCUUCUUGCCAGAAAAUCUCGUGCCUCUGCAGAGCCUUUUCCAGAAUGAACCACACCAUGCUGAGGAAAGGAGAAAGAGACUACCUACUGCAUUUCUGUCACUCGCUGAAAAGGACACUCUGUCAGAAAAUCUUCUAGCAAACUUCAAAGGGCAAAAUCACCCCUUGUUACUGAUAAAGCCCAGAGAGCUUCAGCAGCUAACAUUCCCUGGACAGGGCACAGCAAGGAUUUGAACCUAGGUCAGUCUGGCCAGAACACCCACAAGCUUUCCUUAACUCAGUGUGCUAUCUCCCCACGACUAGGUCACUACUGCUUUAUAAUCACCUUUGUAGCCACCAGUGGAUUUUGCUCAUCAGUAUUUUUCAGGCAAUUGAUACUUUAGAUAUUCAGCUGCAAGACGUAUGCAGUUUUCAUUGACAUCUUUUGGAGAAACUGACAAACCUGGACUUGACUUAAUGCCUUUGGAACCUUCCAAGAUGUUAUAUAACUCUAGAUAGAAGGCUGGGCCUCCAUGAUGUCAGGAAUGUUGCAUUCUUAUUUCCCCAUAGAUAAACCCAUUUGUCCACAAAGUCAAGGAGUCAGGCAGAGGCCCUUGCCAUGGGGCUUUUUAGGAUAAAGCAACAAGCCUGGACUUUGCUCUACAACAGGGUUUUGCAUAGGGAGUGGUAUGACCAGAUCCCUCAAGAAAGAAAGCUUAGAGACCAGGCCAGAGUCCACUGCAGUAGCCCAGUCAAGAGAGGAUGGUGACUUGGACUUGUAGUAGAGCCAGUUAGAAUGAAAGAAAUUGACACAUUCAGAAAUGGUUUUAGAGAUAGAGUCAAACUGGACCUGAUAAAGAACUAGAGAAGCGGAGUGAGGAUAAAGAGAAGAGCCAUGACUGACUCGGAAGAUUUUGUCUUGAAAAACUUGAGAACUCAAGACAGAGUGAAAUAAAAUCACAUGUGGGAAAAA